GAUAAACGCUGGCGGCGUGCCUAAAACAUGCAAGUCGAACGGUCACGGGUCUUCGGACUUGUGGUAGUGGCGGACGGCUGAGUAACACGUGGGUGACCUGCCCUCGAGCGGGGGAUAACUGCCCGAAAGGGUGGCUAAUACCGCAGACAUCAUGGAUUCGAUUUCAUGAUUGAACCGAUUCAGGGUUCGAGGAGGGGCCCGCGGUCGAUUAGCUCGCUGGUGGGGUAAUGGCCACCAGGGCAUCGAUCGAUAGCUGGUCUGAGAGGAUGAUCAGCCAGACUGGGACUGCGAACGGCCCAGACUCCUACGGGAGCAGCAGUUAGGAAUUUUGGGCAAUGGGCGAAAGCCUGACCCAGCAACGCCGCGUGGGUGAUGAAGGCCCUCGGGUCGUAAAGCCCUUUUCCAGGGAAGAUGAUGACGGUACCUGGGAAUCAGCCCCGGCUAACUACGUGCCAGCAGCCGCGGUAA
rnacentral:rRNA from 1 species